UACGUAGGGUGCGAGCGUUAAUCGGAAUUACUGGGCGUAAAGCGUGCGCAGGCGGUUCGUUGUGUCGGCGGUGAAAGCCCCGGGCUUAACCUGGGAACGGCCGUUGAAACUGGCGAACUGGAGUGUGGCAGAGGGGGUGGAAUUCCGCGUGUAGCAGUGAAAUGCGUAGAGAUGCGGAGGAACACCGAUGGCGAAGGCAGCCCCCUGGGCUAACACUGACGCUCAGGCACGAAAGCGUGGGGAGCAAACAGG
rnacentral:rRNA from 1 species